UCUCUUGGUUCUGGCAUCGAUGAAGAACGCAGCAAAAUGCGAUAAGUAAUGUGAAUUGCAGAAUUCAGUGAAUCAUCGAAUCUUUGAACGCACAUUGCGCCCGCCAGUAUUCUGGCGGGCAUGCCUGUUCGAGCGUCAUUUCAACCCUCAAGCACAGCUUGGUGUUGGGACUCGCGUUAAUUCGCGUUCCUCAAAUUGAUUGGCGGUCACGUCGAGCUUCCAUAGCGUAGUAGUAAAACCCUCGUUACUGGUAAUCGUCGCGGCCACGCCGUUAAACCCCAACUUCUGAAUGUUGACCUCGGAUCAGGUAGGAAUACCCGCUGAACUUAAGCAUAUCAAUAAGCGGAGGA
rnacentral:rRNA from 1 species